rnacentral:rRNA from 1 species
UGCUAUACUGCAGUCGAGCGACAGAUAAGGAGCUUGCUCCUUUGACGUUAGCGGCGGACGGGUGAGUAACACGUGGAUAACCUACCUAUAAGACUGGGAUAACUUCGGGAAACCGGAGCUAAUACCGGAUAACAUAUUGAACCGCAUGGUUCAAUAGUGAAAGGCGGCUUUGCUGUCACUUAUAGAUGGAUCCGCGCCGUAUUAGCUAGUUGGUAAGGUAACGGCUUACCAAGGCAACGAUACGUAGCCGACCUGAGAGGGUGAUCGGCCACACUGGAACUGAGACACGGUCCAGACUCCUACGGGAGGCAGCAGUAGGGAAUCUUCCGCAAUGGGCGAAAGCCUGACGGAGCAACGCCGCGUGAGUGAUGAAGGUCUUCGGAUCGUAAAACUCUGUUAUCAGGGAAGAACAAAUGUGUAAGUAACUGUGCACAUCUUGACGGUACCUGAUCAGAAAGCCACGGCUAACUACGUGCCAGCAGCCGCGGUAAUACGUAGGUGGCAAGCGUUAUCCGGAAUUAUUGGGCGUAAAGCGCGCGUAGGCGGUUUUUUAAGUCUGAUGUGAAAGCCCACGGCUCAACCGUGGAGGGUCAUUGGAAACUGGAAAACUUGAGUGCAGAAGAGGAAAGUGGAAUUCCAUGUGUAGCGGUGAAAUGCGCAGAGAUAUGGAGGAACACCAGUGGCGAAGGCGACUUUCUGGUCUGUAACUGACGCUGAUGUGCGAAAGCGUGGGGAUCAAACAGGAUUAGAUACCCUGGUAGUCCACGCCGUAAACGAUGAGUGCUAAGUGUUAGGGGGUUUCCGCCCCUUAGUGCUGCAGCUAACGCAUUAAGCACUCCGCCUGGGGAGUACGACCGCAAGGUUAA